CUUGGUUCUAUGGUAGGUCUUAAAGGGUUAAAGUCCCUAUUAACCCACAUGCCACAGUACUGCCUUGAAGUGGUAAAGUUUUAGUUCCCGUGCGACAUUAAGGGGAUUUGUGGGUUUUGUUUUUAGGUUUUUUUUGUUUGUUUUUUCAGACGUCACACUGACUGAAGUCACCAUGUAAAGUAGGAAGUGUAGAGCACUUCUGUGUCAGAGUCCAUCAGAGCUGAGCUGCUUUCAGACGACUCCGUCUUGUUGUGGAUGCUGAAGCUGAUCAUGGUUCUCCUGUGGAUGAUCCUGUUGGUGCUUCUGCUCUGUGCAGAGGCCGAGAAUGUGAGAGAGGUCAGAGGAGAGCUGGGGACCAAUGUCACUCUAACCUGCUCCGAUCAGACAGCAGACACACACUGGUACAUGGAGAUCUACAGUCAGUUCAGAGCAUGUAUCGGCCGCAGUUUUUCCUCAGCAGGCUCUACCUACUGCUCUCCUGGUUUUGAAACCAAAUUUUCAGUCCUGGGAAACAAACUGAUAAUUAAAAACUUGACAGCAGAGGACUGCAGGCUUUACUUCUGUGGCAUCGAGAGAGGAGGCAGCAUUCAUUUUGUUGAAUCUUUCCACCUUGUCUCAAAUGUCAUUGUUCCUCCCAACGACCCACAGAACGACUGCUAUAAGAGUCGCCUCAUCAUCAUCUGUGUCUCAGUGGCUGCCUUUAUCAUUCUGAUAAUCAGUUUUGUCGUCAUAUUGCUGUGCUUGAAGAGGAGCAAAUACUACGACCGAUGCUUCAGGUCACAUCUGUGAUGCUACAGAGCUACUGCGGGCUGUGCAGGGUAGGUGACCCUCUUCCAGCAAGACAUCACGGGGUUUGAUUCAUUCAUUUCAUUUGUAAGGCCGAGAAGGUGACCGAGGUCAGAGGAGAGCUGGGGACCAAUGUCACUCUAACCUGCUCCAAUCAGACAUCAGACCCACACUGGUACAUGGAGAUCCACAGUCAGUUCAGAGCAUGUAUCGGCCGCAGUUUUUCUUCAGCAGUCUCUACCUACUGCUCUCCUGGUUUUGAAUCCAAAUUUUCAAUCCUGAGAAACAAAAUUGUGAUUAAAAACUUCACAGCAGAGGACUGCAGGCUUUACUUCUGUGGCAUCAAGAGAGAUGGCAGCAUUCAUUUUGUGGAGACUUUCCACUUUUUGUUAGAUGCGUCUACCAGCAACCCACUGAAGGACUGCAUCAUGACUCAGUUCAUCCUCACGAUAUCCGUCUCAGUUGCCGCUGUCAUCAUUCUGAUAAUGGGUGGGGUUUUGAUACUGCUGUGUUCGAGGAAGAACAAAAGUAGCAAACAGGUGGAAGAGCCUUCAGCUCACAUCUACGAGAACGCAGAAACACUGUGGGCUAUUCAGGGCAAGGUGAUCCACCCCUACCGAGCAAGACAUCACUGAACGAGUUCUUUCAGACGCUACAAGACUUCAUUUGUUGUAUUUCACUGAAAAACAUACAAACAUUUGUGCACAUUUCUUCUCUGCAGCAAAUACAUUAAUUUUUUGCUAGUGCUGUAGAGCGUUAAUCUCGUUAAAAUGAUGUUAACGCCAUAACCGCGUUAACGCGACAAAUCUGCAUUAGCGAGUCAAUGUGGAUCGCCCCGUGCGUGGGGCUGCACAGCGUCAACGCAUAGAUUUGCCACGUCACUGCGGUUAUGGCGUUAACGUCAUUUUAACGAGAUUAAGGCUGACAGCACUACAUUUUGUAUAUUAUCAGGUUUGUUGGAAGACAUCUGUCCACUUGAGAUGUAAAACUUUCCAAUCAUAUGGAAAGGUGUGCGUUUUAAAAGAUAAACUAUAAGCUGCUGUCAAACCCUGUCAAGAUGGAAUCUGAAGGCAGACAAUGAUUCAAACUUGUGGGUUCAUUUUGCAGUAUUAGUACUAGGUGGAGGCAAUAACAGUAUUUAUGAUACUAACAGAAAUUUUAUAAAAUACACUGAGUAACAGUAGUAAAAGAAGUACAAACAUAGUUAAUGUCAACAUCAUAGGUAGUAGUUUUCGUUAAAGUUCUUGAAAAUGGAGCAGUAACCUAUUAAUAGAUGUAGUAAAGUCUACGUUUGUGGUAGAACUGAUGCAGUAGUAAUAACAGCAAGGAUUAUGGGUAGUUUUUGCAGGAAUUUUAUAGCGUUACUGUCAGACAGGAUGGGGUUGGUGGGUAAAACGUUUCCUGACUUCUUCUUUUCUGCAAAGAUUCUGGCAACGCCUGAAGAAAAAGUAGAAAAGAGGAAAUAAUUUGAAGUGCUAAUUUUACAAACGUUUCCAGGGAAAUAUGGCUACUCUGCAUGACUUCACCAUUAAAAUCCUACUGUCAUCACUUCUUCUGCACACAACGAUGUGGCUGAAUUUAACUUUAAAGUCUUCACUCUCAGAAACAGCCAAAUGUAUUAGAUGUGCUGAGUGUGUUGGGAGGUUCUUCAGAACCACUGAGGUAUCUGACGUACCACAUCUUUUGGUGUGCAGCUGAUCACUUAUGUAACAGAUGGUCCCUACAGUCAUGUGUAAAAACUAGAUUUUUGCCUUGAAUAAGAGUUUAUAACUCUGUCAGGCUGGAGAUGGAGGGCAGACCUUUCUUCUUAUUUGACUGUUUCAGUAUUGGCUUUUGUACCAGACGUUUUACAGUCAUAGCAGUAACAGUAACUACUGUACUGUUUGUACUUCUGCUUUUGGUUUUCUCUUAUUGUUAGCAAUAUAGAUGGUAGCAGGAUUUGUAAUGAUUAUAGUAAAUGUUGCAGUAACUUACUAAUAGAUGUAGAAAAGGCUGCCCUAGAAGUAGUAAUACCCUUGGUUAAGGGUAGUUGUAGCACAGGACCUGUAAAACCAUGCAAAUAGUAUAAAAUGGAGUUUGUCUUUGACUCAUUUGUCUGUUUCCACUUGUUUGUUUCACUGUGCAAUUUAAAAAAUGUAAAUGGAGUCAAAUGUUUUAUACUUUUUACUUAAUUUAAUUUAUAUUUAACUAUCUUUUUUUUAUUUUCAAGUCACUUUCUUUUCAGUAUCAGCUAUGAGCUGUUGUUAAGGGAAGAUUUACGAUGUUCAGAAAAUACAUUAUGAUCCGAGCAGAAUUUCAUUUUUUUUUCCAUUUUCAUUUUCUUUCAAUUUGUAUUUUAAGUUCAGUUUAAUGUCAUUUCUCUGUGAUUUACCAUCUCAACACUUACAUUUCCUCUUACUAAUAACAUCUCUGAUACAUACAUAUGAUGCAGAGUAGUUUGCAAAGAAAUCCUUAAUAACGGAGAGCUCCUGUAAUGCCUGAUUUAUUAAAACAAGUUAAACAGGUUCAGACUGCACCAGCGUCUCUGAGAAAUUAACUGGCAGAAUGAAUGCACAAAGUUUAACCAUUUUUCUGUAAAUGUUACCAGUUAGUCAUGCAAC
ensembl:lncRNA